rnacentral:misc_RNA from 1 species
GUGAAUCAUCGAAUUUUUGAACGCAAAUUGCACUCUCCUCGGAGAGUAUGCCUGUUUGAGGGUCAGCCUAUAAAAAUUGGAAAUGGUGGUUGUUUGCGGGUGGGGUUGGUGGGAAAUUGGGUAUUUUUAAUUCUUUUUGAUUUAAGGAAUUCAAAAUUUUUUUUUGGGUUCUGUGCAUGUUUCUGAG